AAAUUGUGAAAUGAGUUUCUUAUGCAACGAAUUAUAAUGAUAUUAGUAUAAUUCAAUUUCAGCUUAGAGAUCAUGUGUUGUCAUUAAAUAAUUCUUUAACCAUCAGUUCUGAAGUGCAGUCAAACAUAAAGCAACUUGAGGACGAGCUCAUGAAUACCAUUUUUUUAACCAUUUUACUUAUAAAUGAUUUACCUGGUGAACCUAAUAGUACUAUUAGUCUGGAUAUGUUUCGUAACUACGUGAAUGAUGCCGAAUUAAGUAAAACUAUAUUAAACAAUUUUUAUUUCGACGGCACACUUUCUGAUAUAACUAAAAACGAAAUGACUCGUGAUAAAUUUAAGUAUAUCAUAAGAAGUGCAAGUACAUUAUACGAGAUGGGAGUAAAUAAAUUCACUGGACAAUUAAACGCUAAAUUUAAAGAACAUUUUAAAACGUAGU